rnacentral:rRNA from 1 species
CGCAUCUGUGCAUGCAGCAUAUCAAUAAGCGGAGGAAAAGGCUGCGGAACUGAACGACCGCUACCUACGCUUAGGAUGUUGACGCGCGUGUGUGCGUGAGUCUAUACAUGACUCUGCGCAUAUCAAUAAGCGGAGGAAAAGGCUGCGGAACCGAACGACCGCUACCUACGCUUAGGAUGUUGACGAGACUGUCGAUCUCAUCUACACAUGACUCUGUGCAUAUCAAUAAGCGGAGGAAAAGAAACUAACAAGGAUUCCCCUAGUAACGGCGAGUGAAGCGGGAAGAGCUCAAAUUUGAAAUCUUAAAGGGUUUCCCUUUACGAAUUGUAGUUUAAAGAAGUGUUUUCUGUUGAGGUUUUGGUAAAAGUUCUUUGGAAUAGGACAUCAUAGAGGGUGAGAAUCCCGUAUUUGACCUUUACUUUCAACUUUGUGAUACACUUUCAAAGAGUCGGAUUGUUUGGGAAUGCAGUCCAAAAUGGGUGGUAAAUUUCAUCUAAAGCUAAAUAUUGGCGAGAGACCGAUAGCGAACAAGUACCGUGAGGGAAAGAUGAAAAGAACUUUGAAAAGAGAGUUAAACAGUACGUGAAAUUGUCAAAAGGGAAGCGUUUGACACCAGUGUUGUUUUUCUGAAAAUCAAUUAAAGAACUGUUUAUGCUAAGUUGUUUAGACUUUAUCAGCUAUCUGUUUAGUUUUGAGCUUUUCUUUAAUGCACUUUUCAGUUAACAAGUCAACAUCAACUUCUUUUGCUGUAAAAAAGCUUGAGGAAGGUGGCUUGAGAUUCGUCUUAAGUGUUUAUAGCCUCUUGCCUAUGCAGUCGGAGAGAUUGAGGUCUGCAGCGUAGAUCCUUCGGGGCUAAAUGCAUUUGUGCUAAGUUAUAGCAUUUUAUAGACAACUUGUUGACUAUGAUUUGUCUUGUAGCUUACUCGCUUAUGUUAUUUUACCUACGCUUAGGAUGUUGAGUCGUAGAGCACGCAG